UUAACGCUGGCAGCGUGCAUAACACAUGCAAGUCGAACGGGAAUUCCUGAGAUUAUAUCAAUGGAAUUUUAGUGGCAGACGAGUGAGUAACACGUAAGGAAUCUGCCCUGGGACGGGGAAUAACUUGCCGAAAGGUAGGCUAAUACCCCAUACGAUUGUCUGGCGGCAUCGUCGGACAAUGAAAGGUUUCGGCCAUCCCAGGAUGACCUUGCGGCCUAUCAGCUAGUUGGUGAGGUAACGGCCCACCAAGGCUAUGACGGGUACCCGGCCUGAAAGGGCGAACGGGCACGGAGGCACUGAGACACGGGCCUCACUCCUACGGGAGGCAGCAGUGGGGAAUUUUGGACAAUGGGGGAAACCCUGAUCCAGCAACGCUGCGUGAGGGACGAAGGCCUUCGGGUCGUAAACCUCUUUUCCAGGGGACGAACCUGCGCAAGCAGUUGACGGUACUUUGGGAAUAAGCCCCGGCUAAAUAUGU
rnacentral:rRNA from 1 species